rnacentral:rRNA from 1 species
GAUGAACGCUGGCGGCGUGCCUAAUACAUGCAAGUCGAGCGAACAAACGAGGAGCUUGCUCCUCUAACGUUAGCGGCGGACGGGUGAGUAACACGUGGAUAACCUACCUAUAAGACUGGGAUAACUUCGGGAAACCGGAGCUAAUACCGGAUAAUAUAUUGAACCGCAUGGUUCAAUAGUGAAAGACGGUUUUGCUGUCACUUAUAGAUGGAUCCGCGCCGCAUUAGCUAGUUGGUAAGGUAACAGCUUACCAAGGCAACGAUGCGUAGCCGACCUGAGAGGGUGAUCGGCCACACUGGAACUGAGACACGGUCCAGACUCCUACGGGAGGCAGCAGUAGGGAAUCUUCCGCAAUGGGCGAAAGCCUGACGGAGCAACGCCGCGUGAGUGAUGAAGGUCUUCGGAUCGUAAAACUCUGUUAUUAGGGAAGAACAAAUGUGUAAGUAACUAUGCACGUCUUGACGGUACCUAAUCAGAAAGCCACGGCUAACUACGUG